rnacentral:misc_RNA from 1 species
GUGAAUCAUCAAAUUUUUGAACGCAAAUUGCACUUUCUGGUAUUCCGGAAAGUAUGGCUGUUUGAGGGUCAGUUAAAUAAAAAUAGGUGUUGUUGCUGCCCUUCGUGGUGACGCGUCGGAAUUGGGUCGUCUUACCUUCGGUUAAGUGACUUAAAAUUUUGCAUGAUUUUCGAACGUAUUCAAAUCGUUUACGUACGUUUGAGAUAUCGUAUGCGUAUUAGGUUUGGUUAUCAUCAUGACCCGCGCCAAUAAUUCUUUCAUUA